GGAUUCCCCUAGUAACGGCGAGUGAAGCGGGAAGAGCUCAAAUUUGUAAUCUGGCGGUCUCUGGCCGUCCGAGUUGUAGUCUGGAGAAGCGUCUUCCGCGCCGGACCGUGUAUAAGUCUCUUGGAACAGGGCUUCAUAGAGGGUGAGAAUCCCGUCUUCGACACGGACUGCCGGUGCUUUGUGAUGCGCUCUCGAAGAGUCGAGUUGKKUGRRAAUGCAGCUYCAAAAACGGGKGGGGUAAAUUYCMYYUUUAAAAGCUWAAWAUUUUGGGGSGAAAGACCCCGGAUAGCGAAACCAAGUUACCGUGRRGGGAAAAGAUGAAAAAGCMCUUUUGGAAARRGAAGGUUAAACCAGUACSUGRAAAUUUGUUGAAARGGGAAAACGAUUKAARUUCAGUYGSGUYYYCCCGGGRAYUCAGCCCCCGCUUYUGUGGGGGUGCAMUUYCCCSGGGGSGACGGGCCCAGCAUYGAUUUCGACCGUCAGAGAAAAGGUCGGGGGAAWKGUGGCACCUUCGGGGUGUGUUAUAGCCCUCGGUCGCAUGUGACGGUCGGGAUCGAGGAUCGCAGCACGCCUUCAUGGCCGGGGUUCGCCCACGUAACGUGCUUAGGAUGCUGGCGUAAUGGCUUUAAACGACCCGUCUUGAAACACGGACCAAGGAGUCUAACAUGCCUGCGAGUGUUUGGGUGGAAAACCCGGACGCGGAAUGAAAGUGAAAGGUUGGGACCUCUGUCGUGGAGGGCACCGACGCCCGGACCAGACCUUCUGUGACGGUUCCGAGGUAGAGCAUGUAUGUUGGGACCCGAAAGAUGGUGAACUAUGCCUGAGUAGGGUGAAGCCAGAGGAAACUCUGGUGGAGGCUCGUAGCGAUUCUGACGUGCAAAUCGAUCGUCGAACUUGGGUAUAGGGGCGAAAGACUAAUCGAACCAUCUAGUARCUGGUUCCUGCCGAAGUUUCCCUCAGGAUAGCARAGACUCMUAUUCARAUUUAUGUUGGUAAAGCCGAAUGAUUARCCGACCUUGGGGGUUGAAACAACCUUWAUUCGAUUCCUCAAACUUUUAAAAUWUGUAAGAACSAGCCCNGYCMYUUGAUUGGGACCGCUUNCGGCGAAUGAGARAAUUCYYUARUKGGGGCCAAUUUUUUGGUAARCAGAACUGGCGAUGCGGGAUGAACCGAUCGCGAGGUUAAGGUGCCGGAAUACACGCUCAUCAGACACCACAAAAUGUGUGAGUUCAUCUAGACAGCAGGACGGUGGCCAUGGAAGUCGGAAUCCGCUAAGGAGUGUGUAACAACUCACCUGCCGAAUGAACUUGCCAUGAAAAUGGAUGGCGCUCAAGCGUGUUACCCAUACCUCGCCGUCAGCGUUGAAGUGACGCGCUGACGAGUAGGCAGGCGUGAGGGUUCGUGAAGAAGCCCUGGCCAGUGAU
rnacentral:rRNA from 1 species